rnacentral:siRNA from 1 species
UACAAGCUAAACGAAACUCUCUCC